GACCCCCGUGACAGCCAGAGAAUGUCCGUUUCUGGGAGCGCAGCACAGGCUGUGCCAGGGAGGAGCCUCGGGUGGGCACGGACUCCAUGGAAGCCUGAGCCGCCAGGGGCUUCCCUGGGGCAACACUGCUUCGUGUAGGCUCACGAGAAACUCCCAGGGUUCCUGGGAAAUGAAUGAAAAUAAACAAACAGAUUCCUUGCAUUCAGCACAGCAUAAGAAAAACCACAUCCUGCUCCCCAGCAGCCGAGGAAAGCCGGCUCACGAGAGCAUACAGGGAGAAGAGGCCGGCAUUGUGUGGCUGCCAGCGAAGCUCACUUGUAUGUCAAAUGCAGCACUUUUGUUAGCCCAUUAUGUUGUUAUUUUUUUUUUCUUCAACACUCCUGUGUCUACUGGGAUCUCCUGUUUUUAUUGUUUUGGGAUGAGAUAAAAACA